AUUUAUGUUUUAUUACAUUUUCAUUAUAGAAAGAAGUGGAAUGAAAUACGUUGACUCUUUCAUCAAGAAAAAAUGAAAUUAUUAUUUUACUCUUGCUCCGACAUUUCCUAAAUUUUGAAUAGUUUAGAAAUGAGAAGUAAAGUCCUUGAGACAGUAUGAUUCUAAAAGAAAGAAAAACAAUUAUUAUUAUUAUUAAUUUUUUGUCAUAAGUUUUGGUGAUUAGCUGGUUUAAUUAUUUUGAUUUGUCAAAUUAAUAUCCAGGAGCCAUUGA